UUAAAAUACUUAGAAACUUUAUCCACCCUUAGAAGCAGAGUUUUUUUGGUUUUUUUUAACUAUUUACUGAAAUUCACGGUAUUUUUCUUUCUCCCUGAUUUUUGCUAACUGAAUUGUGUUCUGCAAGUCAUUUUCUGAGCUUGUUUCCUGCUGUCUAUUGCUUUCUAAAUUCCUCUUCCCCCACCUGCAAUAAACUAGAAGAAUUUCUUCCUUUAGGAACAAAAUUCCUCUGAAAUCUAGAACAAUAGUUCAUACAUGAGAAACAAAAACCUUUUUUAUUCACAUAAUAACCACAGAGAUCUUAGCACCACUUACACUCUUGGAGUCAGUGUUGACUUGACUCCAAUUGUAUAUGUUGACUCCAAUUGAAUACAUCGAGUAUAAAAACUCAAUUUAUUUUGCCAUUUUUGUUACCUUGUAGAUUUCUGUGUAGUUUCUUACCAGGGCAGGGAGGAGAACGGCUUUUUUCCCCUGUUUCCACCAAAAUUAAAUUUGGAAUCCAAAACACGUCGUACUUUUACUUUAACCUCCUCAGCGUUGGCAAGUAAUGGGACUGGGAGCUUCUGCAGUCAGUAAUGGAUUGUGACCAGUUGCAUUUAAAACUGAAAAAGAAAUAAUUGAGUGUACUAGAAACACCAAAUAAUCAUGUUCAAUUGAUUCCAGGCCUGCCCUACAAAUUUGAAGUACAGCAGAUGGUGGAGGAACCUCAGUGGGAAUUAAUAUUUGAAAAAACAAGAUGGAUAAUUGAAAAAUACAGAUUUUGCCAUAGCAGCGUCCCCAUGGAUAAAAUCUUUCACAGAGAUUCUGACCUCACUUGUUUGCAGAAACUGUUGGAGUGCAUGAGGAAGACUCUGGGCAAGGUGACAAACUGCUUCAUCGCUGAAGAGUUCUUGACUCAGAUAGAAAACUUAUUCCUCUCCACGUACAAGGGUGAGAAGAAGAGCAAUUCCGAAGAGAAUGAGCACGAACAAAUGAAACACUGAUGUGAUGGCUUUAACAAAACAAAAUUAGGGAACUUUGAUUUUAUUUUUAAAUUUUCUCCUCCUUCUCCCCAUUAUGUCAACUCUUUCAGAAUUAUUACCCAUUUUAAUAGUGACUGUUACAGAAUCCGGUGGUAUCGUUAUGAAAAAGGAGUUUGAGAAACUCCUACUGUGUGUGACCUGACCUCGUGGGGAACAUUUAAUAUGAACAUUUUGUAAAAAAAAAAAACAAGUGCUACCGAAUGAAUUGCUUGACCCACAGUCUGCUGUUUGGGAAGAAGGACAACCCGUCAAGAAUCCUGGGCUUCGGCCUUCAAGGAGAGAGGACAAAAUCUCAAGUCUUCCCAGUUUGAGAUUUUUCUUUUAUUUUUUUUAUCGACAGGUCCCCAUCUAACUCAGAAUGAAUUUAUUCCUGAGCGCUUUAGAGACCGUAAGUGUGAGUGCAUUCAUAAAGGAGAAGCUGCACUGAAAGGAAAACUUUGUACUGAUUUCCCACUUUCCUGGUAUCCAGUCUGAAGUUUUAUUCAGUUGUAGUUUAAUACAUCAGCUGAUUAAUUAUUAUUUUUUUUUUAAUAUAUUUUUUCUCCAUCGAUCCCUACGGUCAGGUAGCUUUUUGGCAUCUCCUUUGCCAUCUUGCUUCUAUAUUGGGUAGAGCAAGCUGGGGAGUUUUGGUGACGUCUCGGUAGCGGUUGUGGUUGUUUCCAGUGGAAAUGCUGACUCCUGUCUUAUUACAGGUCCCAAACUUUCAGCUCUUCCCUUCUGCGGGGAGAGAGUGUGUCCUUCUGCCACAUGGUUGUGAUUUGGCCACUUCUAAUUGCUGCUGUUUCCCGUGGAAACAAGAGCUUUUGAUUGAUGGUGACUUUAGUGCAACAAACAGAAAAAUAUUUGUCUUUUUAAAAGCAAAAAAAAAACCCACCAAGUUUUCUAUUCAGUCUCCUCUAUAACGUGCAGUUCAAUAAGAAAACCUACUGGUUUGUAUCGGUUCUUCAGUUAUAAUUUCACGCAAGGAUAUUUCAGAUAAAUUAGUCAUAAACAGAUGGAGAAAUUUCUUGAUUGGAAAUAUUUCGUGAGCUCUGUCACUGUGAAUCUUUAUAGAAGAAAAACAUGCUUAAAAUUUUGCUUUCUAAAUCAUGAGGAAACUUGGACUGUUGUACAGUUAUUACUAUUUACACAGCUUUAUCUUGGGCAAAGUUUGUCAGAGAGGUCUAAGAUAUAUUUGAAAACAUGAAUUAAGCAAGACCUUGAGUUUAUAUCUAGAGGGGUGACAAUGGACUCGAUUAUUAUUUAAAAAAAAAAUAAAUAAAAUGUGUGUAUAUAUCUAGUUCUACAUAACCUAAAUGGAAUUUUAAAAUUUUA